rnacentral:rRNA from 1 species
CAGCAGCCGCGGGAAUACGUAGGUGGCAAGCGUUGUCCGGAAUUAUUGGGCGUAAAGCGCGCGCAGGUGGUUUAAUAAGUCUGAUGUGAAAGCCCACGGCUCAACCGUGGAGGGUCAUUGGAAACUGUUAAACUCGAGUGCAGGAGAGAAAAGUGGAAUUCCUAGUGUAGCGGUGAAAUGCGUAGAGAUUAGGAGGAACACCAGUGGCGAAGGCGGCUUUUUGGCCUGUAACUGACACUGAGGCGCGAAAGCGUGGGGAGCAAACAGGAUUAGAUACCCCUGUAGUCCCUGUCUCUUAUAC